AGAAUCCAUGCCAGGACACUGCACUGGGUUUCUUGUCUCAUCUGCCCAGUCCGGUCUGCACUGGGUCACACCAUUUCUGAUACCUGCUCUGGGCCAGGGCUAGGACCCAAGAGCCAUGAAGUCCCUUCCUGAAGCGCCCUGUCAAUGUUUGCUGUCUGGAUGGACCCAUCUGUCAGCACACGCCAGCAGCUGUGGAGCAGUAAUGUCUACGUCCCUGGAAUGUGGGCAAGGGUGGCCUUGGGGGGACCUGUGGCAUCCAGGAGACUUGCGCCUCGAUGGCUCGGAUCUCUGGGCUUGUCAGGCAGCUCAGCAUGGCAGUGGUUGGUGGGGAGCUGAGAGGAAUCUGGACAGGCCCUGAACUUGGAAGAAAAAUCAGUGUUUGUCCCGGAGUUUGUUGGAUCAUAAACGUGUCUCAAGUUGCAUGAGCACUUCCUGGCUCCUGCACGGCUCAGGUGAGCUCUGCUGAUUCGGGAAGGGCUUCCCCACGCCCCGAUCACCCGUCAGCAAAAGGAGCCCUGGCAUCUGAUGGGGCUUCUUGUGAUGGUAAAACCCACUCAAAUGACCCACAGCAGGCGAGUGGAGUGGGCUGGCUCCCUCAUUCUUUCAGGCACGCGUAAACUCAACAAAUAGUCCCAUGCUUGCUGUGCCCAGAUGCUGGGCCAGGCUCAGCUGAUGUGGUAGGAGCCAGCCCCCUAGGCCUCUCAACGCACGUCCAGUGUGGAGAGCGACAUUGAUCGGGCAGAUGAAACCAAACCAGGAUAAGGACAGGCUGGGCCCACCCUGUGCUCUGAGUUGAAAGCUGGAAAAGGCACCAAUGAUUUCUACGCCAUAGUUGUUUGACAACCGCAAUCAAAACCACUCACGGAACCAUCCUGUGUCCAGGACAGAGCCCCAAGACCACCUGGGACAGAAAUGCCUCCCGCAGGACUGGCCCCCAAACGACGGCCUCACUUGUCUCGUCUCGGCUCCGAAUCCAGUGUGCACUUGAGCUCAUGGUGGCUGUUCUGUAACUAGCAAGACUGGUGAGAGGGUGACGUUGCCAUUGGUGACCACAGGUAUCCUGGCAGCCUGGUGCAGAAAGGCUACUUCAAGCUCUAACAAGGGCCAGGUUUCCACGGGGACAGCGGAGCCUCAUGUGGCAGGUGUCUUGCUCUGCCCCUGACUAGCUCUGUGGCUUUCUCAGAGCCCCCAGUUUUCCCAUCUGUAAAACAAUGGGAGUGGCCUAGAUGACCUCAGGCCUUUAAGAUGGUGGCAGAUGCCGGCACGUAGCCUUGCUCCUGCUUCCGGUCAUUGGAGCCAGAAACCCAAGUCUGUGGACCCACUUCCCAGGUGGACAGGUCCUCUGUGCCUGGCCCCAGGGAGAACACUUGGCAUGGACCGCAGGGACUGCUCAUCAGCAGUGUGAUGGUCUUCCAAGGCCAGGAGAGCCGGACGAAGCCUGGCUCUGCCAUUUGCUAACUGUGCUACUUCCAGUCAUGUGACUGUACUUCUCUGAGCCCCAAAUACUUGAUUUGCAGCCCCUGGAGAAAAGCAGCACCCACAGCCAUCAGUGUGCUGUCAUAGGGUUGGUGCCCAGCAUUGGCAAACAGCCGGUCAUCCAUAGAGGCUGGUGUCUGAGGGAGUGCCUUGUUCCAUCAGGUCAGCACGACUCAGGUGGGGUUCGAGCUGGACCACAUAGACCCUUGAGCCCUGAAAUCUGCGGUGGGAACUGAGGUGGAGGUGGUCCGAAGCGGGGCCUGGAGCUAAACUGGCAGAGGGAGGAGGCUGAUCAGGGGACAGGCAUCCUAGGCAGGACCAGGGGUGUGGCAGGGAGGCACCAAAGUGUGUGGGCACUUUGUCAAGCCCUCAUGUCAUGCACGGUCUCAUUUGAUCCUCACCGUGACCCCAGAAGGUGGGCGUUGUCAUCCCCACUCUAAGAGGAAGAAGCUCAGUGGGGGGAGGUGACUUCCUGGGUGUCCUGGUGCCAGGAAGUGGUGGCCAGAAUCCCAGUGGGAUGGUCUGAUUCCAGGGCUGGAAUGGGGCAAGCAGAAGUAGUGGGGGUGGGCGGUGUGGGGGUGGUUGUGGGUACCCCAGCCUGAGCCCUGAGCUCCUCACCCCACACACCCUCAGCUCUGAAAACACUGGUCGGUAAAGUGUGACCCACUAGGGUCAUGGGAUCAUUUCAGCUGGUGGCAGCCAUCACCAGGAAGGAAAGAAAUAGGAGAGGGAGCGUCAGAGUUCAUGAUGCCCAGUACAGCAAGUAUUCUUUUGUGAAGACAUUGUUCCCAUCCCACACGUGUAAACAGUUCACUACUUGUAUUUUACAUGCAGCCGUUAUGCUGGUACCAUGUAUUGCUUACCCUGGUCCCAGUCAGCAGGCUUUGAAAGCCACUGCUUUCAGCUUUUCUCUCUUCUGCAGGGCCUCCGGGCCUUUGUUCUCGGAACAAGAACGCCAGUGCUGGGCACAGGACAGGAGCCAGGACGUGCUGGAAGAUUUCCGCGAGUGCCCCUACCCGCAUGACAACGCCGCUGGCUCAGCAAGGUGGUGGUGCCACUGUGUGGGGUCCAAGAACUUGGGGUGUGGAUGUUUGACUGAAGCAUGGGGGCAGCCUGAAUGGGGAGUCCCAAGGCCCUGGCCCUGGGCCUGAGAGGAAUGCUGUCCUCCUUCUCUCCUUGUGUGGGCCAGGGUGCCUCCUCAUCCUCAAGCAAUGCCCCAAAGCUGCUCCAACAGACUAGCCUGCUCUUAGGGGUGCUGAACCCUAUGUGGUCACAGGGAACAAGCAGAGUGACAGCCUCUCCUACCCCUGGCCGUUGUUGACAACAGAGGACAGUGUCCUGGGGAGCAAAAGGAUGUCAGGGAGAUGGGAGACCAGGGGCCCAGAAAUGCCAGGCCAGGCUGGGCGGCCUGCUCGGGAAGGAGUCUGAGCUCCCUCCUGCCCUCAGUGGGCACCUGGAAGGAGGUUUUCGGGUGAUCAGAUUUGUGUUUCAAUCAGGUAACUAACUCUAGUCGGAGUGUGAGGCUGGCGCCACGUAUCUUUUAGGCUUUCUCCGAAUGGUUCUGUUCCAACCACAGAAAGCCCAGGCUUAUGCUGGGAGACCCUGUGGUGGGGCGCAAACUCCAGCACAUACACUUCAGAUGUAGCCUUCUUACUUUUGCAUGGCAUUCUUCUCCCUCUCCCUUCCUUCGGCAUUUACUGUCACUUCUUUUGUUUAUUAUUGCCACCUAGACUUAAGGUCUCCAAGGCUGGAGGCAAGCUGCUAGUUUUCUAAAUAUGGUUGAACAUUCUGGAUGUUCAGAACUGUUUUGUUUCUUGGAGGGUGUUGGAGGUGCCGAUCUCGGUGGAAAGAUCUCAGACACAACUCUGGGGCCUCUCUGAGGCAGCUAGGUGUUUGUUCUUUUCCUAGGAAUGGGCCUCUGGUUUGGGCAGCUCUGGGCACCCAGAAACCUUCAGUUGUAAUAAAGAAGCACAAAGCAAACCAGCAUUCCAACGCGAGCCACAUUCUCCUUCUGCAUCCUGUCCCCACCCCCUCCCCAGCUUUCCCAUUUGCCAUGCUGGCUGGCUCAGGGGCUGCAAAAGGGACUUUUAUUUCCCCAGAAAAACAGAACAAAACAAAAAUCCUGAACACACUCGCACACACAUAAAUGCGACUGCGUCUGUAACCAGGACUGAGGCUGGACGCUCUGCCACCUGGCCUCUGUAGGACACAGACAGAGAUGUGCCAUGGUUGGCUUGCUCUUCAGACUGUGGACUCUGGAUGUGACAAGGAGUCCUCCGAGCCCAAGUUUUGGUCCACAUUUCAGUCACUUCUGUGUGUGUGUGAAUACGGCCAAGGGACAGCAACAAUGCUGCUGGAUGGGUGAUGGAGAGUUUUUAAAGGAGAGGAAACAAAAUGGAGGAGGGUCCUCCAGGUGGGACCAAAACAUGACAUGGUGUAGCAGGCUGGGAGUGGGUCCUGUCUGCUUGCCCCGGCACCUGUACUCCCACUGCACAACCAACGUGCCUGGCUUCAUUCAUUACAUCACCACACAUGCCAUAAUUGUACAGGAUGGGGUUAGAACUGUGUCUGUGUGCAUAUAAAUAAACAUUGCAGCCUGGCAUCCAAUAACCACUUCCUGUCGAGCAGCAUUUCCCCUAAUAUAGUGGAACUAAUUGCACCUCAACUCUCCUCCAGGGUUUCCAAAUGUCAACAAAAACGUAUUUCCCCCUUUCCUGUCCAGUUUAAAGGUUAUUCCUAAAAAGCAGCAGUCAACGUAUUUUUGAUUUUUUGAGACUGAGAAAAUUAUUUACCAGGAACACACAAAUUAUUUGUUUUACUCUGUACUACUCACUUAUUGACACAAGAUCACUGGAAAAGCCACCUCAGAACAAAUGGAGGAUUAGGUUAAAACUUAUUUUUUUAUUUAUUUAUUUUUUUACAACCAUUGGGAUUACUGAUGUUAGGGAAAUUGUAGAUAAAACAAACUCAAGGUCAUUCAGUUUGUUACAUAUUAGUUAAAUAUUACUGUUUUAUACAAAACAAAAACAGAUACUCCUUAGGUUAAAAAAAUUGGCGACUUUUUCCUGUGCAACUUUUAUCUCAAGUGGAAGGCGAUUCUAAUUUUAUCUCGGUUCAAUAAGCAGAUUACAAAAAACCAUGAGGCCAAAGCUGUUUACUUUUCCCUACAAUUCUCUGAGCUGCUGAAGGAAAGAGAAUCACCUUGAAUCUAGCAUUUUCUGAGCACACUAAAACAGCCAGAUCCCUUAGACCCAUCUGGAAAGAAAUCAAUUACAUUUAUGUGUUAGUUUAAUGUGAAAUUAUUUUAUUUUCAUUGUAUUUUCUUUCAGACUAUUGGGGAGGAAGAAAAAAAAAAGUACAGCAGGAGAAAGACAGGCUUUGGUUCCUCACCGCCCAUUUUCUCUCCAGGUUUUUCUUGGCUUUUGGCGUUUGCUCUUAAAUUUUUUAAAAAUCUUUUUUUGUUUGAAAAAUAUACAAAAUGUGUAUUUCAAAUAUAAAAAAAUUGUGUUUUGAACAUGAGAAAAUUUUAGAUCCACAAUACAUUUUGACAAAAAUAUUAUUA